CUCUGACUCCAUAUAACACAAAGUAAUGACUAAUCGACUAUUAAAAUAGUCGUCGACUAUUUUAAUAGUCGAUUAGUCGUCGAUUAGUCGACUAAUUGUGUCAGCCCUAUUAAGUUUAACCACAACCAAGCAUCAUCGUCUCUGUUUGACCGGACCAGGAGCUUGGUUUGCAUAGCCAGCAGUAAGUCAGACCAGUUCCCGGUACAUGUUGGACCCUUUAUCACCGGUUCUGUUAAUAGUCUUCAUGUACAGAACUGCUAGGUGCAGCCAGAACUGGUUGGGGACCACAAGCUUUCAUCUCUUCUCUUUGCAGAUGAUGAUGUUCUGUUGGCUUAAGGACCUCCAGCAUGUACUGGAUCCAUUUGCAGCUGGGAUGAGGGUCAGAACCGCCAAGUCUGAGGCCAUGGUUCUCAACCAGAGAAAGAUCCCCUGAAGCAAAUCUAUGGGACCACGCUGCUUUGUAAGUCAUAGAACCUCCCAGAAGCAGCUGUGGGACAUGACGCCUUCCAGCUGAUCUACUUCUCCUCUUGUAUCGCCUCUGAUACAGUCGGUUAGCUUGGUUCCUUCUGCAUGCCGUGGUCGUCUCCAGGUCUCAGCUGCUGCUCCCUGAGGGCAUUACUGCCCAUCAUCAGCCCAAAUGCAGCACUGACCUGCUGCCAGUUGUGUGCUGCAAUGACCCAAGAAUGCCACCUUGGAGCUGGUGUUGCAGAAAACAUCAUGACCCGAAAACAGCACAAGGAGUUUAUUUCCAUAUUAAUUAAGUUUUGGUUGUAAGUUGAUCUUUUACAGUCUCACAAUGUCAUUAAUUUAAAUAAAAAUACAUAAAAAUGAGGAAUUUUCACAGCAAUUAUUAGGUUAAAAUUAUUUGCGAUUAAAAUCGAUUAAGUAUUUACAGGUCACGAUUAAUUAAUCACACAAAAAUGUAUCCCAUGACAACACUAAAUAUAUUAUAUUUUUCCAAAUAAACUUUUUUUUACUCUUCUAUGCAGUACGUACAAGUUCUUUUCAAAAUAAAAUAAGAUCCUCCUGCUACAGCAGAUUUACUUGCAAUUAUAUACUUUUAAGAAUGUUGAGUCUAAACAGCAAAUAGACUGUUGUGCAGCUGCAAAUAAGAAUAUGUGCUUAAACUCUUUUGAAAGCAGCUCUGACAAUUUGCUUAGUUAUCGAACGUCUGUAUUUGUGAUGAGUGGAAAGGCCUCAAAAUGUUUGCUAGCAUCACAUCACCUCAGUUUAAGCAUUAAUGCUAACAAACUUAGUAUUUAUAUCAAUCGUUAUCUACAAUGGAGAAAUAAAAGAUGUAGUAUUUUUCAAAUGUCAUUUGUUUUACACAUAAAGCUGAAGGAAAUCUGGAUCUUGCUACAAAAUAACCAUCAGAAAAUAUAAAAACAAAAGAAGAAACCCUAAAAAAGCAGAUAAAUCUAAGAGCACACAAAUGUUAAAAUUACAUGACGAUCGUAUGACUGAAUAAUGAAACCCCACAUUCAUCGAACACCUGAAUUUAACACUUAAGCUUCUGCUAAAAGAGAUUUAAACUCGUCAUUUUAAUGAGAAGAGUUUCCAAGAUCAAAGCACCACAGCCAACAGAUGGCUGUUCUCAUCACAUGACCUGUAGGUUUCAGAUGUUCCUGUUUAUCCAAUCAUCCCGCAAGAUAUGUAAGCAAGUCUGAAGAAAAAAAAGAAAAAAAAA